rnacentral:rRNA from 1 species
AUGAGUAGCAAACAUGGAGAAUCAAUGGCAGCCAUGCUGUGCAUAAUGUCUCUUCUCUCAAAGAAAUUGGAUAAAACCCUAAUCGGCAAGAUCCGGAGGAUGCAAAUUCGAUUGGCACUCCACCUAUAUCGCUUGCAAAGAUUUUUAUGGCAAAUAAUUUGCGGUGAUGCAACGAAAUGCAAGUUGCAACCGUAUGAACCGUGCAAGAAUUUGGAGGAGGAACAAAGCCAUAACAAGCGAUCGAGUCAAGAACAGAAACAAACCAAAGAAGAACAAAUCCAAAGACGAAAAUUGGUAAGCCAAAGCUGUCGAACGGACCAGCGGUCACGAAGCCCUACGAGUCGCUGGCGCUCAUGCUCUCGUUCGGCUCGCCACCCCCGUGCUGCAGAUGUUGAUGCUAGUUCUGAUGUUGAUGGUGAGUAG